CAAUAGCGUAUAUUAAAGUUGUUGCAGUCAAAAAGCUCGUAGUUGGAUUUCUGGUGGGAGCGAUCGGUCUGGCGCUUAGCGCGAGUACUUGCAUCGUCUCCGGCCAUCCUUGGGGAGAGUCUGUCUGGCAUUAGGUUGUCGGGCAGAGGAUCCUCAUCGUUUACUGUGAAAAAAUUAGAGUGUUCAAAGCAGGCUUAUGCCGUUGAAUAUAUUAGCAUGGAAUAAUAAGAUAGGACUUUGGUACUAUUUUGUUGGUUUGCGCACCAAAGUAAUGAUUAAUAGGGACAGUUGGGGGUAUUCGUAUUCCGUUGUCAGAGGUGAAAUUCUUGGAUUUACGGAAGACGAACUACUGCGAAAGCAUUUACCAAGGAUGUUUUCAUUAA
rnacentral:rRNA from 1 species